AGCCACAAGGUGAGAGGGCAGGGCAGGGCGGCCAAGCAAGGGGUGGGCGCGGCGUGGCGAGCCGCAGGGUCGUGCUCCGGCUCUUCUCAGGCGUUCUGCGGCUGUCUUGGGAGGGAACCGGGCAGCGGGCCCCAGGCCAUCCCCCUCCGCCGAGCUCUUCUCUUAUUCCGAGUCUAACCUAUCCGCUGAGGCCCUGGAAAGCAAUUCUCGCGUGGACUGGCUUUAGGCAGCGGGGGGGUGGGGGAGGAACUUCCUGCCAUGCUCCCUCAACCCUCCCUCGGCCGGUCCGCCGCUGCGUCCUCUCUCAUGUGCCUGAGCUCCAACCUCCGAGCCCUGGGUUCCUCACGCUUCUCCAGGCCCCCACCCGAAGGUCCGAUCCCGCUGGUACAGCGGCCACCGGGCUCCCUGUCUCGGUAGCCGUCCCUCUACCCCCGCCCCAUGACCCCUUCUAGACGACUGAAAGAGCAUCCGAACCACUUUCCUGCUGCCACUCUUUCCCACCAUCCUCUAAAUCACAGCUUCCUGGUGCCUCUGUAAGCAUGGCUUUGCUCGUUCACUCCUAUUCAAAAAUCUUCUCACCAAAUUUCUCACCAUUUACUGAGUUGAGUGCCUGCUUUCUGUCAAUUCUUUUACAAAUAUAUCUGUAGUCCGCACACCACCGACAAAUUUGUUGGAGCCAUUUAAAAAGGAGGAAACCGAAACGAAACUUCUGCCGCUGCCUGAGCCUCCAUUGCUCCGAGCCGCGCGGCUGCCGGCCGAGCUCCGCCGGAGAGCCCACGAGCCCGAACGUCCCGGGCGUUCGUCGGGGGUGGAGGCGCCUCCCGCAUGGAGUCCCCACGCGGCCUUGCUCCAGCGUUUCAUUCAGAGGCCUCGGGGCGGGGAAGGGCGGGGCCCCGAGGCUGAGUCGGGCGCCCCCCAGCGGCCGGCGCUGGCCUCAGGCUGGGCCGCGGAGCGGAACUGGUGAGGUGAAGCCCGGGACCUACAGCCCGGGGCAGCGGCACUCGGCUGUGCGUGAUGGAUGUUAAGAGCAGCGGCCACCCGGACCUCUACGGGCGCCUCGGCUCUUUCCUCCUGCUAGAGGUGGGGUGCGGGCUGCCCGACCUGAGCCCUGAUGCCGCACCUGCUGAGCCGGGUCCCCGAGGUGACUGCCAGCCUGGCGCCCACCUGGGACGCGCUCUCGGACAAUGCCUCCGGCCGCAGGGAGCAGAUCAGCUAGGCAGAGCCGAGAGAGUUGUGAUCGGCUUCGUCUUGACGCCCAUCUCCCUGCUGACGAUUGCGGGCAACUGCCUGGCGGUAUCUUCAUGUGCUCCGCCAGCCCUCCAACUACCUAAUCCUGUUCCUGGCGCUGGCCAACCUCGUAUGGCCGUUGCGGUCAUGCCCUUCAUCAGCUUCACCGACCUCAUCAGGGGCAAGUGGAUCUUUGGACACCUUUUCCGUAACGUCUUUAUCUCCAUAGAUGUCCUGUGCUGCACGGCCUGGAUCUUGACCCCGUGCAUGAUCAGCAUCAACAGGUACCUUGGGGUCAGGAGGCCCCUAACGUACCGUAUGAGGCAGAAUGGGAAAUGCAUGGCGAAGAUGAUUCUUUCUGUCUGCCUUCUCUCUGCCUCCGUCACUUUACCCCACAGUUUGGUUGGGCUCAGAAUGUAAAUGAUGAUAAGGUGUGCUUGGUCAGUCAGGACUUUGGCUACACGAUUUUCUCCACCGCAGUGGCAUAUUAUAUCCUCAUGUCUGUCAUGCUUUUCAUGUGCUACCAGAUUUACAAGGAAAAGCACAGCCUAACACAGGUUCCCUGGCUUCCCUCGAGUGGAGCCAGACAGCAGUAGUCACCCUGAAUGGCACAGUGAAGUUCCAGAAUGAGGUGAAAGAGUGUGGAAAAUAUCUCCAUCUUUAAGCAGGAACGGAAAGCAGCAACUACUCUGGGGAUCAUCGUUGGGGCCUUCACCAUGUGCUGGCUGCCCUUUUUCCUCCUUUGAUAGCCAGACCCUUCGUCUGUGGCACUGCAUGCCACUGUGGGUGGAGAGGAUAGUUCCAUGGCUGGGCUAUGCAAACUCUCAUGAACCCUUUUAUAUAUGCCUUCUUCAACCUGAGGACUACCUAUGGCACCUGCUCCGUGCCAGUACCAGAAUAUCAACCAGGCACUCUCAGCUGCAGGCAUGCAUUAAGCCCCGAAGCUUGCUGAGAGGCUGGAGACCUACCUUUGUCCUGCAAAACUCUGACUAAAUAAAAGGUCAUGAUUCAUGACUGAAAGUGGAAUAAUGGAGACGAAAUAAAGCAAAAUAGAGGUGGAAACAGAAGAAAGUCAUUUGCCAAGACUGCAGAAUGGAAUGCGGCUUCUGUCCUUUCUUGGGGUGGGUAAAACAUGACAAACAGGGUGAUUCAAUUUACAAAAUGUCUUACGAGAGAGAUGGUGACCUCUCCUUUUUUCUGUGGAUCAGUGCUAUUGUGUGUUCUCAGUUUAAGAUAGCAGAUCAUCUCAGCAGUAAGCACACCAACAGAACUGAGUUCCAGAAAGGCAGCAGUUUCAGGUUCUUUGGACAUGUCUAAAUCCAUGCAAGUGGGAGAAGGUUCCAAUGCACACUUCCUAUGCUACCGAGUCUAGGUGUCAUGGUGAAUAUUCAGGAAUCAUUCAUGGACAGAAUGUAUUUUGUUGUAUGACAGGAGGAUUUUCCAAGCAAACUAUGAUAAGCACAGUGUGAGCAAAGGAGACACAGUAGAUGAGAAAAGAAGAGUACCUAUAUCUACAAGGGGGAAACUGAAUACAGUCCUUCAUUUGAUAAGACAGAACUGAAAGAGAGUAUUAUUUUUCUACAAUAAAGCAAGCUGUCCUCCAAGGAUAAAGUAGAAUUUCGAUGUGGAUUAUGGACUCCUUCCAACUCCUAUUGACGUUGCUUCUUACCAGACAUGUGGAAGAACUGCCUUUCUUGAAAGGGGAGGAAGACACUGUCCUUUGAGUCAAAGCUUGUACAAUUUCCUGAACUGGAGAUUUGCUAAUGUGACCCUGUAUACUUAUAUUAAUAAUGUAAGUGAUUAUUUAUGGUCAGAUA